UAUCUUUCUCAAGACAUUCAUAGCAGAUUCAGCUGUACAAAAGUCAAGAUGUUUCUCCUAGCUCUGUGCCUCGUUGGAACCGCUUUGGCUGCUCCAGCCAUUCCGGAAGAAACGAUCAUUCCAGAGGAGACCCGUGUACUGGUGUCUCCUUACAUUACUUACCCGUCGCCAAUUCUUCCUCUGAGAACCCUGAUGAUCGAACCGGAGUUUAAGGAAG